rnacentral:rRNA from 1 species
UUUAUGGAGAGUUUGAUCCUGGCUCAGGAUGAACGCUGGCGGCGUGCCUAAUACAUGCAAGUCGAGCGAACGGACGAGAAGCUUGCUUCUCUGAUGUUAGCGGCGGACGGGUGAGUAACACGUGGAUAACCUACCUAUAAGACUGGGAUAACUUCGGGAAACCGGAGCUAAUACCGGAUAAUAUUUUGAACCGCAUGGUUCAAAAGUGAAAGACGGUCUUGCUGUCACUUAUAGAUGGAUCCGCGCUGCAUUAGCUAGUUGGUAAGGUAACGGCUUACCAAGGCAACGAUGCAUAGCCGACCUGAGAGGGUGAUCGGCCACACUGGAACUGAGACACGGUCCAGACUCCUACGGGAGGCAGCAGUAGGGAAUCUUCCGCAAUGGGCGAAAGCCUGACGGAGCAACGCCGCGUGAGUGAUGAAGGUCUUCGGAUCGUAAAACUCUGUUAUUAGGGAAGAACAUAUGUGUAAGUAACUGUGCACAUCUUGACGGUACCUAAUCAGAAAGCCACGGCUAACUACGUGCCAGCAGCCGCGGUAAUACGUAGGUGGCAAGCGUUAUCCGGAAUUAUUGGGCGUAAAGCGCGCGUAGGCGGUUUUUUAAGUCUGAUGUGAAAGCCCACGGCUCAACCGUGGAGGGUCAUUGGAAACUGGAAAACUUGAGUGCAGAAGAGGAAAGUGGAAUUCCAUGUGUAGCGGUGAAAUGCGCAGAGAUAUGGAGGAACACCAGUGGCGAAGGCGACUUUCUGGUCUGUAACUGACGCUGAUGUGCGAAAGCGUGGGGAUCAAACAGGAUUAGAUACCCUGGUAGUCCACGCCGUAAACGAUGAGUGCUAAGUGUUAGGGGGUUUCCGCCCCUUAGUGCUGCAGCUAACGCAUUAAGCACUCCGCCUGGGGAGUACGACCGCAAGGUUGAAACUCAAAGGAAUUGACGGGGACCCGCACAAGCGGUGGAGCAUGUGGUUUAAUUCGAAGCAACGCGAAGAACCUUACCAAAUCUUGACAUCCUUUGACAACUCUAGAGAUAGAGCCUUCCCCUUUGGGGGACAAAGUGACAGGUGGUGCAUGGUUGUCGUCAGCUCGUGUCGUGAGAUGUUGGGUUAAGUCCCGCAACGAGCGCAACCCUUAAGCUUAGUUGCCAUCAUUAAGUUGGGCACUCUAAGUUGACUGCCGGUGACAAACCGGAGGAAGGUGGGGAUGACGUCAAAUCAUCAUGCCCCUUAUGAUUUGGGCUACACACGUGCUACAAUGGACAAUACAAAGGGCAGCGAAACCGCGAGGUCAAGCAAAUCCCAUAAAGUUGUUCUCAGUUCGGAUUGUAGUCUGCAACUCGACUACAUGAAGCUGGAAUCGCUAGUAAUCGUAGAUCAGCAUGCUACGGUGAAUACGUUCCCGGGUCUUGUACACACCGCCCGUCACACCACGAGAGUUUGUAACACCCGAAGCCGGUGGAGUAACCUUUUAGGAGCUAGCCGUCGAAGGUGGGACAAAUGAUUGGGGUGAAGUCGUAACAAGGUAGCCGUAUCGGAAGGUGCGGCUGGAUCACCUCCUUU